rnacentral:ncRNA from 1 species
UUUUUUGAGAGUUUGAUCCUGGCUCAGGAUGAACGCUGGCGGCGUGCUUUAGGCAUGCAAGUCAAGGGGGUCUCGC